GAUGAACGCUGGCGGCGUGCCUAAUACAUGCAAGUCGAGCGAACGGACGAGAAGCUUGCUUCUCUGAUGUUAGCGGCGGACGGGUGAGUAACACGUGGAUAACCUACCUAUAAGACUGGGAUAACUUCGGGAAACCGGAGCUAAUACCGGAUGAUAUUUUGAACCGCUUGGUUCAAAAGUGAAAGACGGUCUUGCUGUCACUUAUAGAUGGAUCCGCGCUGCAUUAGCUAGUUGGUAAGGUAACGGCUUACCAAGGCAACGAUGCAUAGCCGACCUGAGAGGGUGAUCGGCCACACUGGAACUGAGACACGGUCCAGACUCCUACGGGAGGCAGCAGUAGGGAAUCUUCCGCAAUGGGCGAAAGCCUGACGGAGCAACGCCGCGUGAGUGAUGAAGGUCUUCGGAUCGUAAAACUCUGUUAUUAGGGAAGAACAAAUGUGUAAGUAACUGUGCACAUCUUGACGGUACCUAAUCAGAAAGCCACGGCUAACUACGUG
rnacentral:rRNA from 1 species